UCCUGGCUGGCUCAGUCAGUAGAGCACGAGACUCUUGAUCUCGGGAUUGUAGGUUUGAGUCCCACGUAGGGUG
rnacentral:tRNA from 1 species